rnacentral:rRNA from 1 species
AGGUUAAGUGAAUAAGGGCGCACGGUGGAUGCCUUGGCACUAGGAGCCGAUGAAGGACGGGACUAACACCGAUAUGCUUUGGGGAGCUGUAAGUAAGCUAUGAUCCAGAGAUUUCCGAAUGGGGGAACCCAAUAUCUUUUAUAGGAUAUUACUUUUCAGUGAAUACAUAGCUGAUUAGAGGUAGACGCAGAGAACUGAAACAUCUUAGUACCUGCAGGAAGAGAAAGAAAAUUCGAUUCCCUGAGUAGCGGCGAGCGAAACGGGAAGAGCCCAAACCAACAAGCUUGCUUGUUGGGGUUGUAGGACUCCGAUAUGGUAGUCUGUUAGUAUAGUUGAAGGAUUUGGAAAAUUCCGCUAAAGAGGGUGAAAGCCCCGUAGACGAAAUGCUAACAACACCUAGGAGGAUCCUGAGUACGGCGGAACACGAGAAAUUCCGUCGGAAUCCGCGGGGACCAUCCCGCAAGGCUAAAUACUCCCUAGUGACCGAUAGUGAACCAGUACCGUGAGGGAAAGGUGAAAAGCACCCCGGAAGGGGAGUGAAAUAGAUCCUGAAACCGUGUGCCUACAACAAGUCAAAGCUCGUUAAUGAGUGAUGGCGUGCCUUUUGUAGAAUGAACCGGCGAGUUACGAUUGCAUGCGAGGUUAAGUCGAAGAGACGGAGCCGCAGCGAAAGCGAGUCUGAAUAGGGCGAAUGAGUAUGUAGUCGUAGACCCGAAACCAUGUGAUCUACCCAUGUCCAGGUUGAAGGUGCGGUAAAACGCACUGGAGGACCGAACCCACGUACGUUGAAAAGUGCGGGGAUGAGGUGUGGGUAGCGGAGAAAUUCCAAACGAACUUGGAGAUAGCUGGUUCUCUCCGAAAUAGCUUUAGGGCUAGCCUCGGAAUUGAGAAUGAUGGAGGUAGAGCACUGUUUGGACUAGGGGCCCAUCUCGGGUUACCGAAUUCAGAUAAACUCCGAAUGCCAUUCAUUUAUAUCCGGGAGUCAGACUGCGAGUGAUAAGAUCCGUAGUCGAAAGGGAAACAGCCCAGACCACCAGCUAAGGUCCCAAAAUAUAUGUUAAGUGGAAAAGGAUGUGGGGUUGCACAGACAACUAGGAUGUUGGCUUAGAAGCAGCCACCAUUUAAAGAGUGCGUAAUAGCUCACUAGUCGAGUGACCCUGCGCCGAAAAUGUACCGGGGCUAAACAUAUUACCGAAGCUGUGGACUACACCAUUAGGUGUAGUGGUAGGAGAGCGUUCUAAGGGCGUUGAAGGUCGAUCGUGAGGACGGCUGGAGCGCUUAGAAGUGAGAAUGCCGGUAUGAGUAGCGAAAGACAGGUGAGAAUCCUGUCCACCGUAUGACUAAGGUUUCCUGGGGAAGGCUCGUCCGCCCAGGGUUAGUCGGGACCUAAGCCGAGGCCGAUAGGCGUAGGCGAUGGACAACAGGUUGAUAUUCCUGUACCAGUUGUUUUUGUUUGAGCAAUGGAGGGACGCAGUAGGCUAAGGAAUGCAUGCGAUUGGAAGUGCAUGUCCAAGCAAUGAGUCUUGAGUAGAGUUAAAUGCUUUACUCUCUAAGGACAAGUUGUGACGGGGAGCGAAAUAAUAGUAGCGAAGUUCCUGAUGUCACACUGCCAAGAAAAGCUUCUAGUGAGAAAAUAACUGCCCGUACCGUAAACCGACACAGGUAGUCGAGGAGAGUAUCCUAAGGUGAGCGAGCGAACUCUCGUUAAGGAACUCGGCAAAAUGACCCCGUAACUUCGGGAGAAGGGGUGCUGACUUCGGUCAGCCGCAGUGAAUAGGCCCAAGCGACUGUUUAUCAAAAACACAGGUCUCUGCAAAAUCGUAAGAUGAAGUAUAGGGGCUGACGCCUGCCCGGUGCUGGAAGGUUAAGAGGAUGGGUUAGCUUCGGCGAAGCUCAGAAUUGAAGCCCCAGUAAACGGCGGCCGUAACUAUAACGGUCCUAAGGUAGCGAAAUUCCUUGUCGGGUAAGUUCCGACCCGCACGAAAGGCGUAACGAUUUGGGCACUGUCUCAACGAGAGACUCGGUGAAAUUUUAGUACCUGUGAAGAUGCAGGUUACCCGCGACAGGACGGAAAGACCCCAUGGAGCUUUACUGUAGUUUGAUAUUGAGUGUUUGUACCACAUGUACAGGAUAGGUAGGAGCCGAUGAGACCGGAACGCUAGUUUCGGAGGAGGCGCUGGUGGGAUACUACCCUUGUGUUAUGAACCCUCUAACCCGCACCACUAAUCGUGGUGGGAGACAGUGUCAGAUGGGCAGUUUGACUGGGGCGGUCGCCUCCUAAAAGGUAACGGAGGCGCCCAAAGGUUCCCUCAGAAUGGUUGGAAAUCAUUCGAAGAGUGUAAAGGCAGAAGGGAGCUUGACUGCGAGACCUACAAGUCGAGCAGGGACGAAAGUCGGGCUUAGUGAUCCGGUGGUUCCGCAUGGAAGGGCCAUCGCUCAACGGAUAAAAGCUACCCUGGGGAUAACAGGCUUAUCUCCCCCAAGAGUCCACAUCGACGGGGAGGUUUGGCACCUCGAUGUCGGCUCGUCGCAUCCUGGGGCUGUAGUCGGUCCCAAGGGUUGGGCUGUUCGCCCAUUAAAGCGGCACGCGAGCUGGGUUCAGAACGUCGUGAGACAGUUCGGUCCCUAUCCGUCGCGGGCGUUGGAAAUUUGAGAGGAGCUGUCCUUAGUACGAGAGGACCGGGAUGGACUUACCGCUGGUGUACCAGUUGUUCUGCCAAGGGCAUUGCUGGGUAGCUAUGUAGGGAAGGGAUAAACGCUGAAAGCAUCUAAGUGUGAAGCCCACCUCAAGAUGAGAUUUCCCAUUUCUUUAAGAAAGUAAGACCCCUGAGAGAUGAUCAGGUAGAUAGGUUGGAAGUGGAAGGCUAGUGAUAGUUGGAGCGGACCAAUACUAAUCGGUCGAGGACUUAACCAAA